UACAGAGGGUGCAAGCGUUAAUCGGAAUUACUGGGCGUGAAGCGUGCGUAGCCGGUUACAUAAGUCGGGUGUGAAAGCCCCGGGCUCAACCUGGGAAUUGCAUUCGAGACUGCGUAGCUAGGGUGCGGAAGAGGGAAGCGGAAUUUCCGGUGUAGCGGUGAAAUGCGUAGAUAUCGGAAGGAACACCAGUGGCGAAAGCGGCUUCCUGGUCCAGCACCGACGUUCAGGCACGAAAGCGUGGGGAGCAAACAGG
rnacentral:rRNA from 1 species